CCCUAGUACACGGAUGCCUCAUCUACACUAUCAUUUUCUAUGUUUAGUGGACCGUGAAAAUGGGAUAAAACUGUAAUUUGGCAUUAUAAUUAAAAAGAUCACACCAUAGGGAAAAUGUGUACUAGGUUUCAAGUGGAUUUAACCUGAACCUGGACAAACGGACAAACGAACAGACGAACGGACGAACGCACGCACAGACCAGAAAAAACAUAAU
rnacentral:lncRNA from 1 species